rfam:Triticum aestivum genome assembly, contig: Triticum_aestivum_CS42_TGACv1_scaffold_320418_4BL
GAUAUACUCCCUCCAUCCGAAAAUACUUGUCCUAGAAAUGAUUGUAUCUAGACUUAUUUUAGUUAUAGAUACAUCCAUUUUAUCCAUUUUUGGGACAAGUAUUUCCGAAGGGAGGGGGUACUUU